rnacentral:rRNA from 1 species
UACGUAGGUGGCAAGCGUUGUCCGGAGUUACUGGGCGUAAAGGGCGUGUAGGCGGCCUUUUAAGUCAGACGUGAAACCCCUGGGCUUAACCCAGGAACUGCGUUUGAAACUAAAAGGCUUGAGGACCGGAGAGGGUAGUGGAAUUCCCAGUGUAGCGGUGAAAUGCGUAGAUAUUGGGAGGAACACCAGUGGCGAAGGCGACUGCCUGGACGGCCCCUGACGCUGAGGCGCGAAAGCGUGGGGAGCAAACAGG